AUUGAACGCUGGCGGCAGGCCUAACACAUGCAAGUAGAAGGAGUAGCGGACGGGUGAGUAAUGUCAGGGAAACUGCCCGAUGGAGGGGGGUAACUACUGGAAACGGUAGCUAAUACCGCAUACAAUCGGAUGUGCCCAGAUGGGAUUAGCUAGUAAGUGGGGUAACGGCUCACCUAGGCGACGAUCCCUAGCUGGUCUGAGAGGAUGACCAGCAACACUGGAACUGAGACACGGUCCAGACUCCUACGGGAGGCAGCAGUUGUGAAUAUUGCACAAUGGGCGCAAGCCUGAUGCAGCCAUGCCGCGUGUAUGAAGAAAGCCUUCGGGUUGUAGAGUACUUUCAGCGAGGAGGCGUUACUCGAAGAAGAAGCACCGGCUAACUCCGUGCCAGCAGCCGCGGUAAUAC
rnacentral:rRNA from 1 species